UCUGGUAAUGAUGGCAGAGAGGUCACACCCGUUCCCAUACCGAACACGGAAGUUAAGCUCUCU
rnacentral:rRNA from 1 species